rnacentral:ribozyme from 1 species
UGCUCAGGAAUUCCUAUCCCUACCUUCGCAUGGCAUCGGCAGGGCUGCGAGCGUCGUAGGCUGACAGAGAAGA